GAUGAAGAACGUAGCGAAAUGCGAUAAGUAGUGUGAAUUGCAGAAUUCAGUGAAUCAUCGAAUCUUUGAACGCACAUUGCGCCCCUCGGUAUUCCGGGGGGCAUACCUGUUCGAGCGUCAUUUAACCCCUCAAGCCUAGCUUGGUAUUGGGUGCUUGUCCCGCCUCUCGCGCGGCGACUCACCUCAAAGUCAUUGGCAGCCCGCAUCUCGCCGGCCGUGAGCGCAGCACAGACGCGCUCUUGGCAACGACGGAUCGGCUCUCCAAAAGCUUAUUUCAACCACUGACCUCGGAUCAGGUAGGGAUACCCGCUGAACUUAAGCAUAUCAAUAAGCGGAGGA
rnacentral:misc_RNA from 1 species